UAGAGUUUGAUCAUGGCUCAGAGUGACCCUUUGCGGCAGGCCUAAUACAUGCAAGUCGAACGGCAGCACAGCAUAGCUUGCUCUGUGGGUGGCGAGUGGCGGACGGGUGAGGAAUACGUGGGAAUCUGCCCAGUCGUGGGGGAUAACGUAGGGAAACUUACGCUAAUACCGCAUGCGCCCUUCGGGGGAAAGCCGGGGACCUUCGGGCCUGGCGCGAUUGGAUGAGCCCACGUCGGAUUAGCUAGUUGGCGGGGUAAAGGCCCACCAAGGCGACGAUCCGUAGCUGGUCUGAGAGGAUGAUCAGCCACACUGGAACUGAGACACGGUCCAGACUCCUACGGGAGGCAGCAGUAGGGAAUAUUGGACAAUGGGCGCAAGCCUGAUCCAGCCAUGCCGCGUGAGUGAAGAAGGCCCUCGGGUUGUAAAGCUCUUUUGUCCGGAAAGAAAAGCGCCGGGUUAAUACCCUGGUGUCCUGACGGUACCGGAAGAAUAAGCACCGGCUAACUUCGUGCCAGCAGCCGCGGUAAUA
rnacentral:rRNA from 1 species